rnacentral:misc_RNA from 1 species
GUAAGGCCAUGAUUUCCUUUGGGUACCAUCAAAGCAAUGCUAAUCAUACCUUAUUUAUGAAAUAUCGUAGAGGGAAUAUUACAUUGCUUAUUGUCUAUGUUAAUGAUAUAGUUGUAAUAGAAGAUGAUAAGGAAGAAAUUGCUCAUAUGAAGGAAUGCUUGGCCCAGAAAUUUAAAAUUAAAGACUUGGGUAAAUUAAGGUACUUCCUGGGAAUAAAAGUUGCCAGAUCAAAUAGAGAGAUUUUUAUUUCUAAAAGGAAGUACAUAUUGGAUUUCUUAGAUGAGACUGACAUGUUAGGAUGUAAACCAUUAGAAUCUCCUAUUAAAGCUAAUCACAAGUUGCAAACAAGGGUUGGGGAGUCGAUUGACAUAGAGAUAUCAAAGUUUAAUUGAGAGAUUGAUUUAUCUUUCUCAUACUAGACCAGAGAUUAAUUUAUCUUUCUCAUACUAGACCAGAGAUUA